rnacentral:lncRNA from 1 species
GCAUUACAGCGUCCACCUUGGUCUCUGGGAUCACGCAUUAAGGGAAAAGCUAUCCAUUAUGUCAUAAGGACUCUUAAGUAGCUCAUGUUAAUUGAAUACCUCCUAUGUGCCAAGAACUGAGGCCUCCCACCAAAGGCCAGCACUAACUUGCCAGACAUGUGUAUGAGCCACCGUGUUAGUAGAUUCUCCACCUCUGGAGGAAGGUUUCAGAUGGCCACAGCCCCAGCUGGCACCUUGACUGCUUUGGAUGCCCCGAUUUCAGUGAAGAACUGGAAAGAAAGCACAUGGAGAAGAUCACAAAAGUGGACACGGGCUGGACGCGGUGGCUCAUGCCUGUAAUCCCAGCACUUUGGGAGGCCGAGGAGACAAAACCUGAUAGGGAGAAACAGAGACAUCUCUUAGACUGGCUGUCUUCUGAUUACAUAGCUCACCAACUACAUGGCAAAAUAUGGAAAC